ACAGAAAGGGAGUGGAGGACAGAUGUGUGAACGUGGACCUGAGAGCGGGUGGGGCGGGAGAGAGAAACAGCCAGAGACGAGUAGAGAAAAAGCACACAGGAGUGACUGGCUCUGACCUGGCAGUGGGGGGAUCUGCUUUUCUCCUGUCUGAUCGACGGAUGGCACGAGCAGUGCGUCCUCCACCAUCUUCACAGGAGUUAGUCGUCUGGUUAGUCGUCGACAUUAUGGACAGAGACUUUUGACGGUAGCUCUUACCUUCCAUUGCUGAUCUGCUGGGGAGACUGGCGAGAGAUGUCCGAUGGAUCGGAGCGCUUGUCCGGUGAUAAACGACUGCUACGCAACUGCUCAUGGGAAUGAUCUGACGUCAGGGAAUGGAUCUCUGAAAUAUCUGUUCGAAUAAUCCAACAUGGACUGGACACACGCUGACAGCCCAGCUUCACCGUCAGAAGCAGAUACGAUCCAGUUCAUCCCAUUUAUGAGUAAAAUGUGCUCGAGAUCACAUGA